AUACUCUGGUUUCUCUUCAGAUCGUAUAAAUCCUUUGCCUUUUACUAAAGAUUUCCGUGGAGAGGAACAUUUAUGAGUUUCGAUUUUUGAAUUUAAUAACUGCUGCAAGACUAUUGAU